GGACCCGCACAAGUAGUGGAGCAUGUGGUUUAAUUCGAAGAUACGCGCAGAACCUUACCAACACUUGACAUGUUCGUCGCGACUCUAAGAGAUUAGAGUUUUCGGUUCGGCCGGACGAAACACAGGUGCUGCAUGGCUGUCGUCAGCUCGUGUCGUGAGAUGUUGGGUUAAGUCCCGCAACGAGCGCAACCCUCACUUUUAGUUGCCAUCAUUAAGUUGGGCACUCUGAAAGAACUGCCAGUGAUAAGCUGGAGGAAGGUGGGGAUGACGUCAAGUCCUCAUGGCCCUUACGUGUUGGGCUACACACGUGCUACAAUGGUAUCUACAACAGGAAGCAAGACGGCGACGUCAAGCAAAUCCUUAAAAGAUACCUCAGUUCGGAUUGCACUCUGCAACUCGAGUGCAUGAAGCUGGAAUCGCUAGUAAUCG
rnacentral:rRNA from 1 species